rnacentral:lncRNA from 1 species
GAGCUGAAGAUGAAGGUCUUAGACUCAAGAAAAUGGAAGAAAAAUGAAGAAAUGAAGAGUCGAGGAACCGCCCGGCGGCAAAUUACACCGCUGGGCGGUCCAACGCAAGGAGAUGGCACCAGGCGUGGACGCUGGGCAGAUUUGCGAUUAGAGGCAAACCGUCGGGCGGUAGACCCUUGCCCCGGGCAGUGGCGCGGCUUGAGGGAAAUCGCUGAGCGGCAUAAGUGUGAUGUCGGGCAGUUAUCUGCUGGGCUUGGGCCUGUUUUCUGUGACACUCCUCAGCUAUAAAUAGCCCUGUUGCGAUUUCAAUCACAUUCUUUUGAGAGAAGGGGGCGGCCAGACCUAUUUUCACUCUCUGGAGAGGAUCUCUUGGAUGCUUAGGCUUCAUUUCUUCUUAUCUAGGGUUUGCUUUUCCAUUCUUCAUCCAUUUUUCAUCUAGAUUCACCAUGACAAUGGUGAACUAAACCCUAUUGUUGUUGGGGGAAACAAUGUAAUCUUUUGAUACUCUCUUUUAUUGAAACUCUUGUUUAUUUAUAUGAUUCCCAUAUGCGUUGAUUAUUAAUUGUUGGGUUCUCAUAUGUGCUUAAUGCUUUUAUCGUUUAACUCAUUUGAUAACUGUUGUUUGUCUUUAUUGAUACGGGGACGUACAAUAAUGUCAUGAACUGGUGAGUGAUUCCUUGAUUAAGCAAUAUCACCUAGGGAUAGGGGUAGGACGACCAAUUGUUUUUCACUUCUGUUCUAUAAUGCAUUAUUAAUUGCUAGGGGAGGCUAGGGAUAACAAGCCAGUGAUUAGUAAUAGGCUCUUUUCGUCGAGGGAUCGGGUUAAGGGUAGGCUAAGAAAGUUGCAUAACAAUUAGAUAAUCAAGCAAAUAACUCAAGAGGAGUAAAUAAGAGAGAGCGGAUAAGAUGAAAUUGUAAACCCCCAACAACUCCAUUCAUCCAUUGAUGCGGUCCCGAUCACGACAAAUCAGAGAAGAUCAAAGAGACCGAAGCAAACACGUGUCUGGAAGAGAGGAUGCAGCGGAAUAAGCAUAAAGAUCUGGAAACCCUAGGGUUCGGUGUUGGAGAGGAAAUAGGUCGAACGAACCCUAGAUCGAGGGUUUGUUGGAUGGAGAGUCUAGAUAUGGUGGUUUAGGAUGGUUUAAUCAGUGAGAAUGAAGGUUAGGGCGAAAAAGGCGAAAACAAUCGGUGGAAAGGAAGGUUUCACCGAUUGAAUCGGUGAAAUGAAAGGGAAAGACCAAAAAUGUUCGGCUAAAGGAAAGGCAAUGGUGGUGAGAAUGUAGAUCUGAGAAGUUGUUCGGUGGAGGAGGGCUUACUAUGGCAGAUUUGAGAAAAGGCGAUGGUCGACGGCUGAAAAUGCUCUCGAGAGAUAUGCUAGGGUUUGAGCGUGAAUUGGAGAAUGAGAGUUAUGGUGGAGGAGUGAGAAACUAAUGGUGGAAAAUGAGAGAAUAGUAAGUGUGAGAUGGAAGGUGGCUAGAGGAGAUCCUUUGGGAUUCUCUAGCCUUGACUUUCAAGGUAGAAUUGUUCUGGAGGGUUCUCAACAGGAAACAAUUCAAUUAUCUCAAAAGUAAGUACAAUAAGUGUAGGCAUGACUAUUUAUAGGACUAGAAGUCCCACAUACCUAACACAUUUACACAGUACAUAAAAGAAAGACUACACUAAAGACAUUGGGCUUGGGCCCCGCAUAUCAUCC